AGUAAGAUGGUUGAGAAAUAAACAAUAGACUGUAAAUCUAUUAACGAGGUUUAACUUAUACCUCUCUUGCUA
rnacentral:tRNA from 1 species